rnacentral:rRNA from 1 species
AUGAACGCUGGCGGCGUGCUUAACACAUGCAAGUCGAACGGAAAGGCCCAAGCUUGCUUGGGUACUCGAGUGGCGAACGGGUGAGUAACACGUGGGUGAUCUGCCCUGCACUUCGGGUUAAGCCUGGGAAACUGGGUCUAAUACCGGAUAGGACCACAUUUUGGAUGGUGUGGUGGAAAGUUUUUCGGUGUGGGAUGAGCUCGCGGCCUAUCAGCUUGUUGGUGGGGUAAUGGACUACCAAGGCGUCGACGGGUAGCCGGGCUGAGAGGGUGUACGGCCAAAUUGGGGCUGAAGUACGGCCCAGGCUCCUACGGGAGGCAGCAGUGGGGAAUAUUGCACAAUGGGCGCAAGCCUGGUGCAGCGACGCCGCGUGGGGGAUGACGGCCUUCGGGUUGUAAACUCCUUUCGCUAGGGACGAAGCGUUAUGUGACGGUACCUGGAGAAGAAGCACCGGCUAACUACGUG